CAUCUGAAGGUUUCCAAAACUCAUGGAAUAUCUGAAAAAGAUGACCCAGAAACAAUUGAGCUUUCCAAUCGGACUAAGCGAAUGUCAAUAGUUGUUGGCCCCAGCAGCUUUGCUUCAAGGAAGAAGAAGAUUAAGAAGGCUGCAACCCUUCCAAAUGGUAGUUGAAAUAAGAGCAUUUUGACCUACAAAACUCAUCACUGGUUGUGUCAUUUAUGUGAACAACAUCACGCCAAGAAGUUGCUGAGGAACAUCUGCAUGCACCAUCUCUUUCCAACCGCGCUAUCAAAUGAUCCAUCUUAAGUAAAAGUUAUUGUGAAGCGCCAGUUACUAUCCGUUUCACACUGGCAUAUGGUUUCCAGCAUAAUUAAUAGUGAAUUUGCAGUGAUGAGUUAGUGACUGCAAAAUGUGCUCCCUCUUGAGCAUGUUCAUUUACAUAUAUUAGAUCCUCUAUCGAGAUCCUCUAGUCCUUAUGUUCCUCUAAAUGCUUAUGAUUUAUUUGACUCGUUCUUAUACCAAACCUGCUUACAUUUGAAAUCCUAAUGCAUU